AUGCUUUGCUGCUUGCUCUCUUUCUUUUCUUUCUUUUCUUUUCUGUUUUGUCACCUCUUUCCACAAUCUGAUGCAGCAUCUAGGUUGGGCUCUCUACUUCCUUUUCUUUUCUUCAUCAUAUCUUGCUUCUUCUCGAGGGACUUAGACUCAAAACGGAGUCCAUCCCACACCAGGGAAGGAGCAAUAAGAUCUAGUCAGAUGUCUGACUCUAGAUCCCUUAGUGGAAGCUAUAGAAAUUUGGAAAUUCCCUUUAUAUUGCAGCAGUACUAAAAUUUAAAGGCUAUUGUUGUGCUAAGAACAAAAAAAUACAAUUUUGCAAUUCAAAACUUAGUACUGCUGUUCUCUCACUCUUUUGUUGUUUUAUUCUUUGAUGUAGCAAUGCUAAUCUUCCUUGAGGCAGAGUAAAGCAAUAUGAAGGAUUAUAUAUUAAAAAGAGAAAAUCAUAUGAAUAGACAUACUGAAAUGUAUUACCAUUAUUUCAUUUAUAAAUGCCAUGGAGAAAGGUAAAAAAAAAAAUACAUCUUUGCUUAAUAUUGUUCUAUAGUGUCCCUUUCUAAGAGAGUCAAAACUUGACAAGCAGGCAUUUGAAUUUUCCACAAAAUUAUUCAUCUCAUCUUGAACUAUUCUUUAGACACAUGUUAAACACAUGUUCAAAACCCAAGAGAUUAAUCAUUAUUUCUCUAAACAGUGUUUGCUUUUCUGUUUCCAUAUCUUUGCUCAAGCCUUUCUCACUGCCUAGAAGGUUUUUCUUUUUUCAUUCAUUUGGGCCAGCUCAAAUCUCAUCUUUGCCAUGAAGUCAGACAAUAUUGAUAACUAUCUUGUACCCUUAGAUAUCUCUAUCAUAUAUUGCAUCUCUGUUAUAACAGUUUCUUUUUCUGAUAUGAACAAGAGACACUUCUUAAUGAGUUUGUCUUCCACACUAAAGUGAGUGGCUACAGGGCAGGAACUGUGAACAAUUCACCCUGGUCUCACCCACAAUACCCAGCCUUAUACAUAAUACAUGAUAUGUGGCAUGCAAUCACACAUAUCUGUGAUGUUGGUUGAAUGCAAAUUAAAGAGAGAAAAUGUCUUCUAAUUAGUUAUUUCUUGUAAAAUUCAAAAGAAAUAUGCCUGGCCUUUUGGAACUAAAAAGAAUCUAAUGCAGCAGAAGUGUCACUCAGUCUGUAUAACACAGGGGACUUCACAAAAGACAGAAAAUUUCUUCAAAAAGAAAAAGACUUUUCCAGCAGCUAACAUAUUGAGAGUCUAUUCAGAAAUUUUGCUUUAAAAUCUCUACAGUUUUUGCAAAGACUAAUGCAUUUUUAUGCCACUUGGAAAAUUACAUGAAAUGAGGUAUUCAGAUCUCAAUAUCCAAAUAUCAAAACAAUAUAGGUUACUUGUAAUUUCAGAAGAGCAACUGCAAUAGGUAAAGUAUCAAGGAUAGUAAUUCAAGGGAAAUUAAAAGCAAAACAUAAACACAGACUAAUUUGUGUCUAAAGAAUAUAGCUUAAAGUAUAUUACCAUAUUUAAAGAAUGAGAAGGCAAAGGUGCCUGGGUGGCUCAGUCAAUUGAGCAUCCGAUGCUUGAUUUCAACCCAGGCCAUGAUUUCAGGGUUGUCUGUGGAACCAGCCUCAUGUUGGGGUCCCCACUCAGUGGGCUAUUUUCAUAGAGAUGAAACAAGAUUACAAAUGAAUUGCUAACAUCUGACAUUUGGUGAUGUGCAUAUGGGGGGUUUAGUACAUUAUCCUCUCCAUUUGGAUGUCUGUUUGCUAUUUUUCAGAAUAGAAGUUCUUUUUUUAAAAAAAAUACUAUUAUAUACAUAUGCAAUAUUAUAUAUAUAAUAGAUUUAUACUUUAUACAUCAGCGCUUAAAGAUGCACAAUUACUUUUAUUAGGAUCAGUUGAAAUGUUGGCAUGCGUAUAGAAAUCUUGUCACUGAAAAAUAUCUAUAUUUGACCAGAAUCAUCCUAUGUAAAAUGAGAUGCUUACACUCGGAAAGGUAUGAGGGAACUGAGAUGAUUAAGGGACUCCAAUCUCAGGCUCACUUCAACAACAUAUGCCUUUAUUUGCUCUGGUUGGCAGAUGUACCCAGAGUACUUACAUUGCUUGUCUCUCUUUCUCAGUGAGCAUAAACUAUUGAAUUCAUGUAAUAUGAACCUAUGUGUGAUAUGACACCAGCAUAUAUGGCUUUAGAUAGCAGAACUGUAUUGUUUCCUUGUUAUAUUUGCAGCUGCUCUAAACUUUAUAUGUUGUGGAUCCUUAAACAAUUAAUGGAGAGUUCAUGUUCAUUUUAUAGUAACUAAAGAGUGAUUUUUCCAUUUACAAUAAAUACAGGCACAGCACGACAUAAAGGAAAAAUAAUUCCUGUGGGUAUCAACAGACUUUUUUUUAAAGAUUUUAUUUAUUUAUUCUUGAGAGAGAGAGAGAGAGGCAGAGACACAGGCAGAGGGAGUAGCAGGCUCCGUGCAGGGAGCCCAACGUUGGACUCAAUCCCAGGACCCCAGGAUCACGCCCUGGGCAGAAGGCAGGUGCUAAACCACUGAGCCACCCAGCCUGCCCAGGAGACUGGGGUUUUAAACUUGCUUUUAAAUUCUCCUGCUUGUCUGGUCAUAAGUAUAUCACUUAAAUUCUCAGAGCCCUAGUUUCUUCCUUUGUCAAUUGGAUGCUCUAGAAUUUCUUUUGUGUUGUUUGAAAGAGUAAAUGAAAGGGAAUAAGAAAAAUUAAUUUUUUGUGCAUUGACCAUGUGCUCCAUGCAGUCUGUACUAAGUUCUUUAACAUAAAAAAAAAAUCCUUUAAUGAUAUAUCUUUUUUUUCUUUUUUAAUUGGGGUUCAAGGAGAGUGAGCAAUGAAAUAAUAUGGGUAAAAGGGCUUAGCCGGUAGUGUAUAAUAGGUGCCUACUAAAAAUUUGCCCCAGUUCUUUGUUUAUAAUACAUAUUCAAAACUGCUUUGGAAUGAAUGACUUUUUAACUUAAAUUCAAUUAGCCAAAAUAGAGUAUAUCAUUAGUUUCAGAUGUCCAAUAACUUAUCAGUUGCAUAUAACAUCCAGUGUUCUCACAUCACAUGCCUUCAAUGCCCAUCACCCAAUUAUCCCGUCCUCCCACCCACCUCCCCUCCAUCAACCCUCAAUUUCUUUCCCAUAAUUGAGUCUCUUGUGAUUUUUCUCCCUAAUCGAUGACUUCCCACACAGUUUUUCCUCCCUUCCCCUAUAAUCCUCUGCACUUUUUCUGAUAUUCCACAUGAGUGAAGCCAUAUAAUUGUCUUUCUCUGAUUGACUUAAUUCACUCAUCAUAAUACCCUGGAGGGUAUUGUGGGUUCCAUCCACAUCGAUGUAAAUGGUAAGUAUUUAUCCUUUCUGAUGGGUGAGUAAUAUUCCAGCAUAUCUAUAUACCACUUUUUUUUUUUAUCCAUUUAUCUGUUGAUGGAUAUCUUAGCUCUUUCCACAGUUUGGCUAUUGUGGACAUUGCUGCUAUGAACAUUGGGGUACAGUGAUCUGUCCCUUCAGAUCACUACAUGUGGAGCAUUUUUUCAUGUGUUUGUUGGCCAUUUGUAUGUUUUCUUUGGAGAAAUGUCUGUUCUUGUCUUUUGCCCAUUUUUAAAUUGGAUUAUUUAUUUUUUGAGUGUUGGGUUUGGUAAGUUCUUUAUCAAAGAUCUUGGAUACUAGCCCUUUAUCUGAUGUCAUUUCCAAAUAUCUUCU
rnacentral:lncRNA from 1 species